UUAAGCGACUAAGCGUACACGGUGGAUGCCCUGGCAGUCAGAGGCGAUGAAGGACGUGCUAAUCUGCGAAAAGCGUCGGUAAGGUGAUAUGAACCGUUAUAACCGGCGAUGUCCGAAUGGGGAAACCCAGUGUGAUUCGUCACACUAUCGUUAACUGAAUACAUAGGUUAACGAGGCGAACCGGGGGAACUGAAACAUCUAAGUACCCCGAGGAAAAGAAAUCAACCGAGAUUCCCCCAGUAGCGGCGAGCGAACGGGGAGCAGCCCAGAGUCUGAAUCAGCUUGUGUGUUAGUGGAACGGUCUGGAAAGUCCGACGGUACAGGGUGAUAGUCCCGUACACCAAAAUGCACAGGUUGUGAACUCGAAGAGUAGGGCGGGACACGUGGUAUCCUGUCUGAAUAUGGGGGGGACCAUCCUCCAAGGCUAAAUACUCCUGACUGACCGAUAGUGAACCAGUACCGUGAGGGAAAGGCGAAAAGAACCCCGGCGAGGGGAGUGAAAAAGAACCUGAAACCGUGUACGUACAAGCAGUGGGAGCACCUUCGGGUGUGACUGCGUACCUUUUGUAUAAUGGGUCAGCGACUUAUAUUCUGUAGCAAGGUUAACCGUAUAGGGGAGCCGCAGGGAAACCGAGUCUUAACUGGGCGUUAAGUUGCAGGGUAUAGACCCGAAACCCGGUGAUCUAGCCAUGGGCAGGUUGAAGGUUGGGUAACACUAACUGGAGGACCGAACCGACUAAUGUUGAAAAAUUAGCGGAUGACUUGUGGCUGGGGGUGAAAGGCCAAUCAAACCGGGAGAUAGCUGGUUCUCCCCGAAAGCUAUUUAGGUAGCGCCUCGUGAACUCAUCUUCGGGGGUAGAGCACUGUUUCGGCUAGGGGGUCAUCCCGACUUACCAACCCGAUGCAAACUACGAAUACCGAAGAAUGUUAUCACGGGAGACACACGGCGGGUGCUAACGUCCGUCGUGAAGAGGGAAACAACCCAGACCGCCAGCUAAGGUCCCAAAGUCAUGGUUAAGUGGGAAACGAUGUGGGAAGGCACAGACAGCCAGGAUGUUGGCUUAGAAGCAGCCAUCAUUUAAAGAAAGCGUAAUAGCUCACUGGUCGAGUCGGCCUGCGCGGAAGAUGUAACGGGGCUAAACCAUGCACCGAAGCUGCGGCAGCGACACUAUGUGUUGUUGGGUAGGGGAGCGUUCUGUAAGCCUGCGAAGGUGUGCUGUGAGGCAUGCUGGAGGUAUCAGAAGUGCGAAUGCUGACAUAAGUAACGAUAAAGCGGGUGAAAAGCCCGCUCGCCGGAAGACCAAGGGUUCCUGUCCAACGUUAAUCGGGGCAGGGUGAGUCGACCCCUAAGGCGAGGCCGAAAGGCGUAGUCGAUGGGAAACAGGUUAAUAUUCCUGUACUUGGUGUUACUGCGAAGGGGGGACGGAGAAGGCUAUGUUAGCCGGGCGACGGUUGUCCCGGUUUAAGCAUGUAGGCUGAUUGUCCAGGCAAAUCCGGAUAAUCAAGGCUGAGGUGUGAUGACGAGGCACUACGGUGCUGAAGUAACAAAUGCCCUGCUUCCAGGAAAAGCCUCUAAGCAUCAGGUAACAUUAAAUCGUACCCCAAACCGACACAGGUGGUCAGGUAGAGAAUACCAAGGCGCUUGAGAGAACUCGGGUGAAGGAACUAGGCAAAAUGGUGCCGUAACUUCGGGAGAAGGCACGCUGGUGUGUAGGUGAAGUCCCUGCGGAUGGAGCUGAGACCAGUCGAAGAUACCAGCUGGCUGCAACUGUUUAUUAAAAACACAGCACUGUGCAAACACGAAAGUGGACGUAUACGGUGUGACGCCUGCCCGGUGCCGGAAGGUUAAUUGAUGGGGUUAUCCGUAAGGAGAAGCUCUUGAUCGAAGCCCCGGUAAACGGCGGCCGUAACUAUAACGGUCCUAAGGUAGCGAAAUUCCUUGUCGGGUAAGUUCCGACCUGCACGAAUGGCGUAAUGAUGGCCAGGCUGUCUCCACCCGAGACUCAGUGAAAUUGAACUCGCUGUGAAGAUGCAGUGUACCCGCGGCAAGACGGAAAGACCCCGUGAACCUUUACUAUAGCUUGACACUGAACAUUGAGCCUUGAUGUGUAGGAUAGGUGGGAGGCUUUGAAGCGUGGACGCCAGUCUGCGUGGAGCCAACCUUGAAAUACCACCCUUUAAUGUUUGAUGUUCUAACGUUGGCCCCUGACCGGGGUUGCGGACAGUGUCUGGUGGGUAGUUUGACUGGGGCGGUCUCCUCCCAAAGCGUAACGGAGGAGCACGAAGGUUAGCUAAUCCUGGUCGGACAUCAGGAGGUUAGUGCAAUGGCAUAAGCUAGCUUGACUGCGAGCGUGACGGCGCGAGCAGGUGCGAAAGCAGGUCAUAGUGAUCCGGUGGUUCUGAAUGGAAGGGCCAUCGCUCAACGGAUAAAAGGUACUCCGGGGAUAACAGGCUGAUACCGCCCAAGAGUUCAUAUCGACGGCGGUGUUUGGCACCUCGAUGUCGGCUCAUCACAUCCUGGGGCUGAAGUAGGUCCCAAGGGUAUGGCUGUUCGCCAUUUAAAGUGGUACGCGAGCUGGGUUUAGAACGUCGUGAGACAGUUCGGUCCCUAUCUGCCGUGGGCGCUGGAGAAUUGAGGGGGGCUGCUCCUAGUACGAGAGGACCGGAGUGGACGCAUCACUGGUGUUCGGGUUGUCAUGCCAAUGGCACUGCCCGGUAGCUAAAUGCGGAAGAGAUAAGUGCUGAAAGCAUCUAAGCACGAAACUUGCCCCGAGAUGAGUUCUCCCUGAGACUUUAAGUCUCCUGAAGGAACGUUGAAGACGACGACGUUGAUAGGCCGGGUGUGUAAGCGCAGCGAUGCGUUGAGCUAACCGGUACUAAUGAACCGUGAGGCUUAACCUU
rnacentral:rRNA from 1 species